GAAUCUCAGCCCCUUCUCCAAGACGUCCAUCCACCACGGCUCCCCGGGGCCCCUCUCCGUCUACCCCCCGGCCUCGUCCUCCUCCUUGUCGGGGGGCCACGCCAGCCCGCACCUCUUCACCUUCCCGCCCACCCCGCCGAAGGACGUCUCCCCGGACCCAUCGCUGUCCACUCCAGGCUCGGCCGGCUCGGCCCGGCAGGACGAGAAAGAGUGCCUCAAGUACCAGGUGCCGCUGCCCGACAGCAUGAAGCUGGAGUCGUCCCACUCCCGUGGCAGCAUGACCGCCCUGGGUGGGGCCUCCUCGUCGGCCCACCACCCCAUCACCACCUACCCGCCCUACGUGCCCGAGUACAGCUCCGGACUCUUCCCCCCCAGCAGCCUGCUGGGCGGCUCCCCCACCGGCUUCGGAUGCAAGUCCAGGCCCAAGGCCCGGUCCAGCACAGUCUGCAGCCAGGAGAGCAGGGACGUCCUGUGCAAACUGUCAGACCACCACAACCACACUCUGGAGGAGGAAUGCCAAUGGGGACCCUGUCUGCAAUGCCUGUGGGCUCUACUACAAGCUUCACAAUAUUAACAGACCCCUGACUAUGAAGAAGGAAGGCAUCCAGACCAGAAACCGAAAAAUGUCUAGCAAAUCCAAAAAGUGCAAAAAAGUGCAUGACUCACUGGAGGACUUCCCCAAGAACAGCUCGUUUAACCCGGCCGCCCUCUCCAGACACAUGUCCUCCCUGAGCCACAUCUCGCCCUUCAGCCACUCCAGCCACAUGCUGACCACGCCCACGCCGAUGCACCCGCCAUCCAGCCUGUCCUUUGGACCGCACCACCCCUCCAGCAUGGUCACCGCCAUGGGUUAGAGCCCUGCUCGAUGCUCACAGGGCCCCCAGCGAGAGUCCCU
rnacentral:sRNA from 1 species